UUAAAAAGCUCGUAGUUGAAUUUCGGGACCAUCAUGUCGGUCGUGCCUCGGUACGUACUGGCAUUGUUGGUUUCUCCCUUCUGACGAACCACGAUGUCAUUUAUUUGGUGUUGUGGGGAAUCAGGACUGUUACUUUGAAAAAAUUAGAGUGUUUAAAGCAGGCUCACGCUUGAAUACAUUAGCAUGGAAUAAUGAAAUAGGACGUUUGAUUCUAUUUUGUUGGUUUCUAGGAUCGACGUAAUGAUUAAUAGGGAUAGUUGGGGG
rnacentral:rRNA from 1 species